rnacentral:rRNA from 1 species
GGACCAAGGAGUCUAGCAUGUGCGCGAGUCAUUGGGAUCUUAACGAAACCUAAAGGCGCAAUGAAAGUGAAGGUCCGCCGUGCGCGGACCGAGGGAGGAUGGACGGUCCCGAGGGACCGCCUCGCACUCCCGGGGCGUCUCGCUCUCAUCGCGAGAAGAGGCGCACCCAGAGCGUACACGCUGGGACCCGAAAGAUGGUGAACUAUGCCUGGUCAGGACGAAGUCAGGGGAAACCCUGAUGGAGGUCCGUAGCGAUUCUGACGUGCAAAUCGAUCGUCGGAACUGGGUAUAGGGGCGAAAGACUAAUCGAACCAUCUAGUAGCUGGUUCCCUCCGAAGUUUCCCUCAGGAUAGCUGGCGCUCGCUUCUCGCGAGUCUCAUUCGGUAAAGCGAAUGAUUAGAGGCAUUGGGGUCGAAACGGCCUCAACCUAUUCUCAAACUUUAAAUGGGUGAGAUCUCCGGCUUGCUUGAACUGUGAAGCCGCGAGAUAUCGGAUCAGAGUGCCAAGUGGGCCACUUUUGGUAAGCAGAACUGGCGCUGUGGGAUGAACCAAACGCCGAGUUAAAGCGCCUAAAUCGACGCUUAUGGGAUACCAUGAAAGGCGUUGGUAACUUAAGACAGCAGGACGGUGGCCAUGGAAGUCGGA